ACUUUUAGUGGUGGCCUAAUGGUUACGGUGUUGGACUCUGGAUUGAGUGGCCUGGGUUUCAAGCCCUGGUCGGGGUC